GUCAUCAAUUUGGCAGCACAUAUACUAAAAUUGGAACAAUACAGAGAAGAUUAGUAUGGCCCCUGCACGAGGAUGACAUGUAAAUUCGUGAAGCAUUCCAUAUUUUU